ACGGAAGGCAGCAGUGAGGAAUAUUGGUCAAUGGGCGGAAGCCUGAACCAGCCAAGUCGCGUGAAGGAUGAAGGUAUUAUGUAUUGUAAACUUCUUUAGCAGCAGAGUAAUAAGGGGGUCGUGACCUCCGAUGCAAGUAUGCUGAGAAUAAGGAUCGGCUAACUCCGUGCCAGCAGCCGCGGUAAUACGGAGGAUGCGAGCGUUAUCCGGAUUUAUUGGGUUUAAAGGGUGCGUAGGCGGCUUGCCAAGUCAGCGGUGAAAUCCGGGCGCCCAACGCCGGAACUGCCGUUGAAACUGGCGGGCUUGAAUGGUGCCGCCGCAUGCGGAAUGUGUGAAGUAGCGGUGAAAUGCAUAGAUAUCACACAGAACGCCGAUUGUGGAAACAGCAUGCGAGACACCGAUUGACGCUGAGGCACGAAGGUGCGGGGAUCGAACAGGAUUAGAUACCCUGGUA
rnacentral:rRNA from 1 species